AGCUGAUUUUUCGGGAAAAUUGUAACUUUGCGUGAAUAGUUAAGGGGCUUAAACUAAACCAAAUUGUCUGAAAUUUUGUACAGUAAUUAAAAUCCGGACAAAUUGUCCAUCUGUUAUCUCAAAAUAUGAUUGCAGCUUUUAAAUUUUGUGCGCAAGCCAUUUUUAUUUUGUUGGAAAAGACACACCCCCCUGGUUCACAAAAC